rnacentral:rRNA from 1 species
GAUGAACGCUGGCGGCGUGCCUAAUACAUGCAAGUCGAGCGAACAGACGAGGAGCUUGCUCCUCGGACGUUAGCGGCGGACGGGUGAGUAACACGUGGAUAACCUACCUAUAAGACUGGGAUAACUUCGGGAAACGGGAGCUAAUACCGGAUAAUAUAUUGAACCGCAUGGUUCAAUAGUGAAAGACGGUUUUGCUGUCACUUAUAGAUGGAUCCGCGCCGCAUUAGCUAGUUGGUAAGGUAACGGCUUACCAAGGCGACGAUGCGUAGCCGACCUGAGAGGGUGAUCGGCCACAUUGGAGCUGAGACACCGUCCAGACUCCUACGGGAGGCAGCAGUAGCGAAUCUUACGCAAUGGGCGAGAGCCUGACGGAGCAACGGCGCGUGAGUGAUAAAGGUCUUCGGAUCGUAAAACUCUGUUAUUAGGGAAAAACAAAUGUGUAAGUAACUAUGCACGUCUUGACGGUACCUAAUCAGAAAGCCACGGCUAACUACGUG